rnacentral:rRNA from 2 species
AAUCCAGAGAUGGAUUUGUGCCUUCGGGAACUGUGAGACAGGUGCUGCAUGGCUGUCGUCAGCUCGUGUUGUGAAAUGUUGGGUUAAGUCCCGCAACGAGCGCAACCCUUAUCCUUUGUUGCCAGCGAUUAGGUCGGGAACUCAAAGGAGACUGCCAGUGAUAAACUGGAGGAAGGUGGGGAUGACGUCAAGUCAUCAUGGCCCUUACGACCAGGGCUACACACGUGCUACAAUGGCGUAUACAAAGAGAAGCGACCUCGCGAGAGCAAGCGGACCUCAUAAAGUGCGUCGUAGUCCGGAUUGGAGUCUGCAACUCGACUCCAUGAAGUCGGAAUCGCUAGUAAUCGUGGAUCAGAAUGCCACGGUGAAUACGUUCCCGGGCCUUGUACACACCGCCCGUCACACCAUGGGAGUGGGUUGCAAAAGAAGUAGGUAGCUUAACCUUCGGGAGGGCGCUUACCACUUUGUGAUUCAUGACUGGGGUGAAGUCGUAACAAGGUAACCGUAGGGGAACCUGCGGUUGGAUCACCUCCUUACCUGAAAGAAGC